CACUCCGUGGCCUAGUGGUUAGAGCAUUCGCCUCAGAUGCGGGAAGUCGUGGGUUCAACCCCUGGCAGAGUUG